rnacentral:rRNA from 1 species
AGUGAACGCUGGCGGUAGGCCUAACACAUGCAAGUCGAACGGCAGCACAGUAAGAGCUUGCUCUUACGGGUGGCGAGUGGCGGACGGGUGAGGAAUACAUCGGAAUCUACCUUUUCGUGGGGGAUAACGUAGGGAAACUUACGCUAAUACCGCAUACGACCUACGGGUGAAAGCAGGGGAUCUUCGGACCUUGCGCGAUUGAAUGAGCCGAUGUCGGAUUAGCUAGUUGGCGGGGUAAAGGCCCACCAAGGCGACGAUCCGUAGCUGGUCUGAGAGGAUGAUCAGCCACACUGGAACUGAGACACGGUCCAGACUCCUACGGGAGGCAGCAGUGGGGAAUAUUGGACAAUGGGCGCAAGCCUGAUCCAGCCAUACCGCGUGGGUGAAGAAGGCCUUCGGGUUGUAAAGCCCUUUUGUUGGGAAAGAAAAGCAGCAGGUUAAUAUCCCGCUGUUCUGACGGUACCCAAAGAAUAAGCACCGGCUAACUUCGUG